CUACGGGUUGCUCCAGUGAGGAAUAUUGCACAAUGGGGGGAACCCUGAUGCAGCAACGCCGCGUGGAGGAUGACGCAUUUCGGUGUGUAAACUCCUUUUAUAUGUCAAGAAAAUGACGGUAGCAUAUGAAUAAGCACCGGCUAACUCCGUGCCAGCAGCCGCGGUAAUACGGAGGGUGCAAGCGUUACUCGGAAUCACUGGGCGUAAAGGACGCGUAGGCGGGUUGGAAAGUCAGGUGUGAAAUCCUACAGCUUAACUGUAGAACUGCACUUGAAACUGGUAACCUAGAGUAUGGGAGGGGGAGAUGGAAUUAGUGGUGUAGGGGUAAAAUCCGUAGACAUCACUAGGAAUACCUAAAGCGAAGGCGAUCUCCUGGAACAUAACUGACGCUAAGGCGUGAAAGCGUGGGGAGCAAACAGGAUUAGAUACCCUCGUAGUC
rnacentral:rRNA from 1 species